AUUGAACGCUGGCGGCAGGCUUAACACAUGCAAGUCGAGCGGAGAUGAGGUGCUAGCACCUUAUCUUAGCGGCGGACGGGUGAGUAAUGCUUAGGAAUCUGCCAUUUAGUGGGGGACAACAUUCCGAAAGGAAUGCUAAUACCGCAUACGUCCUACGGGAGAAAGCAGGGGAUCUUCGGACCUUGCGCUAAAUGAUGAGCCUAAGUCGGAUUAGCUAGUUGGUGGGGUAAAGGCCUACCAAGGCGACGAUCUGUAGCGGGUCUGAGAGGAUGAUCAGCCACACUGGGACUGAGACACGGCCCAGACUCCUACGGGAGGCAGCAGUGGGGAAUAUUGGACAAUGGGCGGAAGCCUGAUCCAGCCAUGCCGCGUGUGUGAAGAAGGCCUUUUGGUUGUAAAGCACUUUAAGCGAGGAGGAGGCUACUAGUACUAAUACUACUGGAUAGUGGACGUUACUCGCAGAAUAAGCACCAGCUAACUCUGUGCCAGCCGCCGCCGUAAUAC
rnacentral:rRNA from 1 species